rnacentral:rRNA from 1 species
GUGUCGCAGCCGCGGUAAUACGGAGGGUGCAAGCGUUAAUCGGAAUUACUGGGCGUAAAGCGCACGCAGGCGGUUUGUUAAGUCAGAUGUGAAAUCCCCGGGCUCAACCUGGGAACUGCAUCUGAUACUGGCAAGCUUGAGUCUCGUAGAGGGGGGUAGAACUCCAGGUGUAGCGGUGAAAUGCGUAGAGAUCUGGAGGAAUACCGGUGGCGAAGGCGGCCCCCUGGACAGAUACUGACACUCAGAUGCGAAAGCGUGGGGAGCAAACAGGAUUAGAAACCCUCGUAGUCC